rnacentral:lncRNA from 1 species
AUAGGAGAAUCGAGCUCAAAGAGAGAUGUGUACAGCUUCGGCGUUGUUUUGCUGGAGCUCCUUACAGGUCGUAAAGGUUUCGAUCAUACCUUACCGUCUGAACAAAGAUUACUUGUGAAAUGGGUAACGUUUAAUGCAUCUUUUCUGCUUCAGAUUCUCAUUUGCUUAGCUUGUAUUAUACAUUGUUACUCACCUCACUCCAUAUAUUAAAAACGUUUAAAACCCUGAAAGAAAACUUUUCUUGUGUGUUAAUCAUCAUAUACAUUGUUAUUAUGUUGAUUAAUAAUCAUAAAGAUGUACCUUGUGUGUUAUCUAUCUUAGGCAACCCCUAAACUAAGCAAAGACAAAGUGGAGCAAUGCGUUGAUCCAACACUUCUCGGAGAGUGCCCUCCCAAAGAUGUUGCCAAGGUAUCGUAAUCCUAUAACAUUGAUAUAUUCCUCUCAUUGUUUCAUUGCAGCAUUAAAGUGUAUACUUAAAAGACUAAUUAAUUUAUCAUGCUGCCACUAUAAUCAAACGGUUAAUACGGUUAUGGUUAAUUAACCACCGGUUAACAGUUAUAAUUUUCUUUAACCAUAACCUUAACCAUUAUAUAUACGGUUAAGACGAUUCAGUUACGGUUUAUAAACAGUUAGAAAUACGGUUAAGGUUAGCUUUUGGUCAUGCCUAUAGUUUUGCCAAAACUAAAAAAAAGCGAUAUAUAGUGUUGGUCUGCAUUCAUCAUCUCUAAUCUCUAUGACAACUAAAAAACAUGAUCAUGAGUUUGAUUUUUAGUUGCUAAAUAUAUUAGUUAAGGAGGUGUGAUGUUUUGAUGCAGCUGGCCGCGAUAGCUGCAGUAUGUGUGAUUCAAGAAUCAGAUUAUAGACCAGACAUGGGCACUGUGGUGAAGCACUUGAAUCUCUUUUAAAACCUCCUUCAUCUGCAUCUGCUUCAAGAUGAUUAAUCAAAGUCUAUUAUUUAAUUUUUAUUUUGUUGUGUAAUUUUUUUAUACAUUUGUGGACCUUUGUCUCAUUAACUCUUCAUUUAAGUCUGCCUUUUUCAAGACCUGCGUAUAUGUUUAUAAAAUUAUCAUAUUUUAUUUUUCCUAUGAUGAUUAGUUGUUUGUGUAGGAUCGAAGAUAACUCAUUAGUCAUUUACUCAUUAAUCCUGAAUAAAGUGUAAAUCUUUUUCUUUUUUCUUUUUUGAAUAGAUAAUGAGCAAGAUUUGUAUGAUAAUCUUAUCGUUAAACAUAACAAUUUCAACAACAACUUAGAGAGAUUAAAUUUGUGAGACACAUGAGACACAUGAGACACGACUAAUAUACACAAUUAACAAUUUUCACAAACAUUAUUAAGUUUAAGAAUUAACAAUUUUCACAAACACUCUUUUAAUGAAAUAAUUUUUUUUUCUAAUGCACCGUGUUUAAGAAUUAAGAAUGCGCAUCUAGUUUGCAUUAUUUGUACGUUUAUCUAAUUAGAUUCGUAUUAUGAAAAAGUAACUAAUAAAUUUCAUUUUAUUGAGAUUGGGAUAUAUAUAGGUUUGGAACAUAAUAGACCCAUCAUCAUCAAAAUCUAUAAAUAUUUCAUAACUAAAUUAAAAAAUAUAUAUAUAUAGUCCCACGUCAAGGACAUAAAACCAUAGCCGUUAGAUUUAAGAUUUACGUGUUGAGAUUUAAUCUCCACCGUCGUUUAUUAAUUUCUUCAAUUUCCAUUUUUUUUUAAAGUAAUCUCUCUCUUUCUUUCUUCAGAGAGAUGCAGAGAGCAUUAUAUGCACAAACACACAGUAGCAGCAAAGCAAAAGCUCUGACUCACACUUCUACGUCUCUCUCUCCCUAAAUCUUCAUCAUUGAUUCGCCAUCGAAGGCUCUGCCGCAUUUAUAUCAUCUUCUUCUCACUCUCACUCUCAUCGGAAAACUUCUUUGAAGUUAUCGGAAUAGUUUUGUUCGUAUAUUGAUCUCUUUCGUUAUGCUAAACUAGAUUCACACGUUUGUUUUCUCCCAAAGCCGAGAUUCGCAUUUCGGCUUCUCGUUUCGAGGUAUUGCUUCUCCGGAUCUGAUUGCGAUCUCUCUGAUUUCUCGUUACUGAUUUUAGGAUUUCUUUGAGGGGUUUUUGUGCUGAGUAGCUUUCAAUGCCGAUUUGGUUUUUGAAUCUCAAGUUUCUCUGAUUGAUUUGUUUUUGGAAGUUUUCAGAUUUCGUCUUAUGGAAUCUCUGAAUCUGUUGCGUGUUGUGGGAUACUUCCCUGUAUUGUGACUAUCGAGGAAACUGCAUCUACGGUGAUUUUUUUUAUUUAGGCUUUGCGUUUUUUUUUUAACUUGAGAAGUGGGAGAGGAGGAAGAUGGCUAAGAUGAUAAACAAGACGCUUGUACUUACCUAUAUCUACUUACUGAUCUACAUUCUUCUCUCUUCUGGAGUUAUACUGUACAACAAGGUGAUUGCAAAUACUACUUUACCUUUCUGUAAUGUAUCUGAAUGUUUCUGCAGAUCUUUAUAUAGUUUGUGUAUCUGUUGAAUUUUGCAUGUCAUUGGCUUUAUGAACUUGAAGUUGAGGUUUGGA